rnacentral:rRNA from 1 species
UACGGGGGGGGCAAGCGUUGUUCGGAAUUACUGGGCGUAAAGGGCUCGUAGGCGGCCAACUAAGUCAGACGUGAAAUCCCUCGGCUUAACCGGGGAACUGCAUCUGAUACUGGAUGGCUUGAGUUCGGGAGAGGGAUGCGGAAUUCCAGGUGUAGCGGUGAAAUGCGUAGAUAUCUGGAGGAACACCGGUGGCGAAGGCGGCAUCCUGGACCGACACUGACGCUGAGGAGCGAAAGCCAGGGGAGCAAA